GCACCCGUAGCUCAGCUGGAUAGAGUACUCGGCUACGAACCGAGUGGUCAAAGGUUCGAAUCCUUUCGGGUGCGCCA
rnacentral:tRNA from 1 species